rnacentral:rRNA from 1 species
UGGGGAAUUUUGGACAAUGGGCGAAAGCCUGAUCCAGCAAUGCCGCGUGUGUGAAGAAGGCCUUCGGGUUGUAAAGCACUUUUGUCCGGAAAGAAAUGGCUCUGGUUAAUACCUGGGGUCGAUGACGGUACCGGAAGAAUAAGGACCGGCUAACUACGUGCCAGCAGCCGCGGUAAUACGUAGGGUCCAAGCGUUAAUCGGAAUUACUGGGCGUAAAGCGUGCGCAGGCGGUUGUGCAAGACCGAUGUGAAAUCCCCGAGCUUAACUUGGAAUUGCAUUGGUGACUGCACGGCUAGAGUGUGUCAGAGGGGGGUAGAAUUCCACGUGUAGCAGUGAAAUGCGUAGAGAUGUGGAGGAAUACCGAUGGCGAAGGCAGCCCCCUCGGAGUAAACACUGACGCUCAUGCACGAAAGCGUGGGGAGCAAACAGGAUUAGAUACCCUGGUAGUCCACGCCCUAAACGAUGUCAACUAGUUGUUGGGGAUUCAUUUCCUUAGUAACGUAGCUAACGCGUGAAGUUGACCGCCUGGGGAGUACGGUCGCAAGAUUAAAACUCAAAGGAAUUGACGGGGUCAUAGCUGUUUCCUG